GGCUUAGGACGAACGCUGGCGGCGUGCCUAAUACAUGCAAGUCGAACGGUCUUUCUAUGGAAGCUUGCUUCCACUGAGAAGAUAGUGGCGAACGGGUGAGUAACACGUGGGUAACCUGCCCAUAAGAGGGGGAUAACAUCCGGAAACGGGUGCUAAUACCGCAUAGUUUUCUUGAUCGCAUGAUCGGGAAAGGAAAGACGGCCUUUGUGCUGUCGCUUAUGGAUGGACCCGCGGCGUAUUAGUUAGUUGGUGAGGUAAUGGCUCACCAAGACGAUGAUACGUAGCCGACCUGAGAGGGUGAUCGGCCACAUUGGGACUGAGACACGGCCCAAACUCCUACGGGAGGCAGCAGUAGGGAAUCUUCCGCAAUGGACGAAAGUCUGACGGAGCAACGCCGCGUGAGUGAAGAAGGUUUUCGGAAUCGUAAAACUCUGUUGUCAGAGAAGAACAAGUUGGAGAGUAACUGCUCCAGCCUUGACGGUAUCUGACCAGAAAGCCACGGCUAACUACGUGCCAGCAGCAGC
rnacentral:rRNA from 1 species